GUGCCAGUGUGACGUCUUCCUGCUUUUCCUCACUGGGACUUCCUGUGGCUGUGAUUGGCCAGUGGAGGUCACCUGACCCAGCCCCGCCCAUAACUGGAGGCGGAACGAACACUGCAGCGCUUCUUCACGAUCAUGUUGAUUCUCUUUGAAGACUCGGUCGUCGGGCUGUGCCACUGAACACAGGCUGUUGAGCACCAGAGUGCCGAGACGAGACGAGCUGCGCUCAGAUGAUUUAUAAUAAUCCAGAGAGUUCACCGUCAGAACAAACCAACGCUUCUUCAGCUUCAGAGACGAGCUCUUCAUACUCGACCUCAUCUCUUUAUGCAGCCAGCCUGAAAGAGACAGACAGUUCCUGUCUCGUCCGCUUUAGGUCCUGUCUCGUCCGCUUUAGGUCCUGUCUCACCUCUGACGAUGAAGUCCUGCCCGUCACUGCGUGCCUCUCCUCUG